AACAGAUUAACGCAGCUCAAAUAUGUGACCAAACGUGUUUUUCUGUGCAUAUGCCAAUGCGCAGGUAGCUCUGGGGCCUUUGAGAGGAAGUAGGAUGUGCCUCUACUCCGGGCGACUUUGGAAAAAGUGACUUCUCUGUGUAUUGACAACUAAUUUAUCAUUGGAAGCACAUGAGGAAACAGACACUGAGAGAUGUGAGAGUAAACCUUUUCAAGGUACAAUUAAUCUGUGCCCGAGCUUGUAAAGGAAUCACGGCUUUCAAACUCUGAGACAGGUGCUCCUUCAAUGCACCAGGCUGCCUUGCCUACUGCCUACGAGAAAGCAUCGUGGAGGGCACCCCAUCUGCCUCUUUGCAGUGACCCUCAGGGGACCCCAUUAAUUUACCCAUGGUGACAACUACUCUCUUCUGCCUGUUUUGCCUUCCAUGUCAUGGUUUGCAUCAAGGCUCCAGGGGAAGCUCACCAUCAGCACCACAGAUACCCUGCACAAAGCCAGACACGGGAAAGAGAGAGGCUUAAGGUAGAAGGAAGGGUGAAAGUUCAACUUUCAGAUGGCAGUUCGGCUGUAGACAACAGAAUGAGAAAGUGGUGGCCAUGUUGUUUCUUUCACCUUCAACUUCGAAUGUAAGUCCUGAAAUGUGUCUGCUUCUGUUUCUAUCCAUCUGUCUCUGGAUCACUGAUCAUCCAUCCACCUAUCUAUCUAUCAUUUAUCUCUCUCUCUCUAACAAAUCUAUCACCUGUCAUUUAUCAAUCAUCUAUCUAUCAUCUAUCAGCAAUUUCCUAUUUUUCUAUCUCUUCCUUCAUUUCUCUCCCUUUCUCCUUUCUUCCUUUUCAAAAAUAAAACUGGUACUAAUGCAGAAGUCUGAAAUUAGACCUUAAAAGCUAUCACUACUCUUAUUUUCAAGGGGUGGAGUUUUUUCUAACUUGUCUGGCUUUAACUUUCCUAUUCUCUUCUGACAUUUGUCCUUAUUGCUACAUGUCAGAGAACCUCUUUGAAAAUUCUUCUGUUUAAUGGGGUUCAGGGAAAUAAAAAUCUACUUUAAAAAAGAU